GGAGUUUUUAGCCUUUUAACAUUCAAGGAUUAGGUAAGUUCUCCCCGCGGUAGACUUCAAAUACUCUUUGUCCUGCCCCUGCUUGGCGAAAUUUACCGAAAUUAUCUACCUAUCCCGCUGGAGUGGGAGCCGGGGGAGAGCUGGAACCGCGUCUCUGCUGCUCACCUUUGUGUCCUUAGCUCCUUCGCAUGGGGUCCGACCGCAACACGUGCGCUGGAUAAACGCUUGUUAACUGGGUGAGAGCCAAGGCCUGUUCUUUCCACUUCUGGGGCUGUGACUUGAGUUUCUCCGCAGGAGCAGAUAGUGUUUGUGUAGGGACUGCGGACUUUUGCAUUACAGCCUCCCUGCUUUGCCCGCCUGCUGCUGGAAGCUUAGCAGAUACAUUUCAUCAAUGAAGCCUUCUGGACCUGGAGUUUCCUAUAUGAGAAGGAUUUUGAUUACACAUUCAAUUUCUACAAUCAAUAUAUGACUGGCCACAUUUUCUAUCUCUUCUCAGGCCACACCGUAGUCAUAGAGCAAGAGGACUCAGAUACAGUUUGGUUGGUCCUUUACCUUCAAAAGUUCAAGUGCUGGCUGCCGAGACUUCUCCAACUCAGUGAUCAGGGUCCCAAGCUGGACCACCUCCUCAGAACCCUUGAUGACACGGCUGUUCCUCCUUUUGAGACACUUACUGAUGCAAAGGAGACUGAACAGUGAAGGAUCUCACUCAGAAUCCUGUCCACAAUCUGUCCAGUUUACACCUUACCCCAAAGAGAGGUAGCCUGUUAUACAACGUUCUUCACCUCAUUCUCUCACUUCACAAUAUAUCUUGGAGAUCUUACCAAAAGCACACAGAGACCUCCUGCGUUGUGAUUAGAUUUUCAUUGCAUAAUAUUCCAUUGUUCGUGUGUGUGUGAGUGUUUAGUUAGUCUCAAAUUGAUAGGUGCAUGAAUUUUUCCAAUCUUUUGUUAAGGCAAGCAGUAUUGAAUAAACUUGUACAUAAUA
rnacentral:lncRNA from 10 species